GCCCCAUGUGUGUGUCAUUUGACAUUUGAAAAAUAUUGCUCUCCUUUCAGCAUUUGAAAAGCACGAGAAGCAGCCACAUUUUCACAUGCAAGUCAGAUCUCUCCUGAUCUCUGGCAAGAUGUUUUCUGCUGUGCCACACAUCGAGCUCUGUCUGCUGGAGAAGUAAAAAAGGUCAAAUGAAGGGUUGGAAGUGCUUUACAAAACUGGGUGUUUUGUUCCUUGAGCACUGGAGUGAGUUCAGUGGUUCCCCAGCCUGGACACGGCGCUGUCUAUCCAUGUGUGGGUCCGUGUGUGGCCAUGCUGUGCUUCUGGGG